rnacentral:rRNA from 1 species
UACGGGGGGGCAAGCGUUGUUCGGAAUUACUGGGCGUAAAGCGCACGUAGGCGGUCUUUUAAGUCGGGGGUGAAAUCCUGGAGCUCAACUCCAGAACUGCCUUCGAUACUGGCGAUCUUGAGUCCGGAAGAGGUGAGUGGAACUCCUAGUGUAGAGGUGGAAUGCGCAGAUAUCAGGAGGAACACCGGGUGGCGAAGGCGGGUCUCUGGGCAGUUAACUGACGUGAGGAGCGAAAGCGUGGGGAGCGAAACAGG